rnacentral:rRNA from 1 species
AGCGAACGCUGGCGGCAGGCCUAACACAUGCAAGUCGAACGAACCUUUCGGGGUUAGUGGCGGACGGGUGAGUAACACGUGGGAACGUGCCUUUAGGUUCGGAAUAACUCAGGGAAACUUGUGCUAAUACCGAAUGUGCCCUUCGGGGGAAAGAUUUAUCGCCGUUAGAGCGGCCCGCGUCUGAUUAGCUAGUUGGUUGAGGUAAUGGCUCAUCAAGGCGACGAUAAGUAGCUGGUCUGAGAGGAUGAUCCGCCACAUUGGGACUGAGACACGGCCCAAACUCCUACGGGAGGCAGCAGUGGGGAAUCUUGCGCAAUGGGCGAAAGCCUGACGCAGCCAUGCCGCGUGAAUGAUGAAGGUCUUAGGAUUGUAAAAUUCUUUCACCGGGGACGAUAAUGACGGUACCCGGAGAAGAAGCCCCGGCUAACUUCGUG